rnacentral:rRNA from 1 species
GUCUUUUUGAUAAAUAAUUUAAAGUCUAAUCUGCCCCCUGAAAUUAUUUUAAAGGGCUGCGGUAUUUUAACCGUACAAAGGUAGCAUAAUAAUUAGGUUUUUAAUUGAAAUCUUGAAUGAAUGAUUGGACGAAAUAUGAGCUGUUUUAAAAUAUGAAAAUUGAACUUAAUUUUUUAGUUAAAAAGCUAAAAUAUGUUUAAAAGACGAGAAGACCCUAUAAAUCUUUAUAAUGUGUUUAUUUUAAUUAAUUAUUUUAAUAAAAUUAAUUUAAAUAAUAGAAUUAUUUUAUUGGGGUGAUAUAAAAAUUUUUUAAACUUUUUAUAAUAAUAUUACUAUAAUUAAAGAUUUAUAAAAUGUGAUCUAUUAAUAAUAAUUAAAAGAAUAAGAUACUUUAGGGAUAACAGCGUAAUUUUAAUAUUAAGUUCGUAUUAUUAUUAAAGAUUGCGACCUCGAUGUUGGAUUAAAAUUUAAUUUAAAUGCAAAAGUUUAAAAAUUAAGUCUGUUCGACUUUUAAAAUUUU